UACGAAGGGGGCUAGCGUUGCUCGGAAUCACUGGGCGUAAAGCGCACGUAGGCGGCUUUUUAAGUCAGGGGUGAAAUCCUGGAGCUCAACUCCAGAACUGCCUUUGAUACUGGCGAUCUUGAGUCCGGGAGAGGUGAGUGGAACUGCGAGUGUAGAGGUGAAAUUCGUAGAUAUUCGCAAGAACACCAGUGGCGAAGGCGGCUCACUGGCCCGGUACUGACGCUGAGGUGCGAAAGCGUGGGAGCGAACGAGG
rnacentral:rRNA from 1 species